UACAGAGGUCCCGAGCGUUGUUCGGAUUCAUUGGGCGUAAAGGGUGCGUAGGCGGCAUGGCAAGUCGGGUGUGAAAUCCCGGGGCUCAACCCCGGAACUGCACUCGAUACUGUCGUGCCUCGAGUGUUGGAGAGGAGACUGGAAUUUACGGUGUAGCAGUGAAAUGCGUAGAUAUCGUAAGGAAGACCGGUGGCGAAAGCUAGUCUCUGGACAACUACUGACGCUGAGGCACGAAGGCCAGGGGAGCAAACGGG
rnacentral:rRNA from 1 species